GAAAUCCAUGACGUCAUUCGCAGGAAACUAAGAAAGUUGACCUUACACGCGACAAACCUGGUAUCUACAUCAUUGGAUUGAGUGAUAAGAAGAUCUGUUGAAGAUAGCAAAUUUGAAGCAUACGGAUUCUGUGGAUCAGGGACUGGGAAAAUAACCUAGAUUCCCCUGCCGCUGGCAUUGUUAGCGUGCCAUUUAGAUUAAUAAGUAGCCUAAAGAUAAUAAGAUACAGGUGAGUAAGCAUGUAAAAAAAAAAAAAAAGAAAAAAAAAGAUAAAAUGCAUGUUUUGUUUUUAUGACAUGACAGGACAUUCAUAAACUUAUUCGACUUAUUCCUGGGAAUAACGUGCCUGGGAAUAACGUGAAAGUUAACUUAUAAAAUUACAGCAUCAUCAAACAAGUGAUAAAGAUUUUACAGCAGAAACAUAAUUGUAACGAAGAAAAUAGCAGAAGCAAAAAAAUAUUGAUUGUGAUCAGCACACUUUGCCUACACUUUGAGAUGCCCCCUCGGAGCUGUGAAGCACCUGCACAUGUAUAACUGAAUACUUCUGUGUUCAUAGUGUGGGGGAGAGAGAAAUAGAGAGGUAUUAACACACAGGCUAAGCUCCACACAGUGGGAUUCCCUGUCUGCAGCCAGACAAGGCAGUACUAGACUGCUUGUGCAGGUUAUAUCUAGGUGAGCGGCUUCUGUGUUUGACUUCUGGGUGGUCUAGCCAUGAUGUGUUCCCUCACAACAAUUUAAUGGGAUGUGAAUUAGAGAAAUUUGCCAAACGUAAAAAAACGGCCGUAAAAAAUGACCUGUAUGAUGUUGAAGUGUGAUAAAGGUAAGAGAUACGUUUUAAGGUGUAGGGAGGCCAGGCCCUUAGCCAACA